AGAGUUUGAUCCUGGCUCAGGAUGAACGCUAGCGGCAGGCUUAACACAUGCAAGUCGAGGGGCAGCAUGUCCAGCAAUGGAUGAUGGCGACCGGCGGAAGGGUGCGUAACGCGUGAGCAACAUGCCCUAUACAGGGAGAUACACCAGGGAAACUUGGUCUAAUAUCCCAUAGCAUUCAUUGAAGGCAUCUUUAAUGAAUUAAAGCUUCGGUGGUAUAGGAUUGGCUCGCGUGACAUUAGCCAGAUGGUGAGGUAACGGCUCACCAUAGCAAUGAUGUCUAGGGGUUUUGAGAGGAAGGCCCCCCACACUGGGACUGAGACACGGCCCAGACUCCUACGGGAGGCAGCAGUGAGGAAUAUUGGACAAUGGAUGGAAAUCUGAUCCAGCCAUGCCGCGUGCAGGAAGGCGGCCUUAUGGGUUGUAAACUGCUUUUAUACGGGAGCAAUAAGGGUUACGAGUAAUCCGAUGAGAGUACUGUAUGAAUAAGGAUCGGCUAACUCCGUGCCAGCAGCCGCGGUAAUACGGAGGAUCCGAGCGUUAUCCGGAAUUAUUGGGUUUAAAGGGUGCGUAGGCGGCCAUUUAAGUCAGCGGUGAAAUUUUGCAGCUUAACUGUAACAGUGCCGUUGAUACUGUUUGGCUAGGAUUUGGUUGUAGUGUGCGGAAUGUGUGGUGUAGCGGUGAAAUGCUUAGAUAUCACACAGAACACCGAUUGCGAAGGCAGCACACUAAGUCAUUAUUGACGCUGAGGCACGAAAGUGUGGGGAUCAAACAGGAUUAGAUACCCUGGUAGUCCACACUGUAAACGAUGAUAACUCGCUGUCGGCGAUACACAGUCGGUGGCCAAGCGAAAGCAUUAAGUUAUCCACCUGGGGAGUACGACCGCAAGGUUGAAACUCAAAUGAAUUGACGG
rnacentral:rRNA from 1 species